GACGAACGCUGGCGGCGUGCCUAAUACAUGCAAGUCGAGCGAAGCGGCAGAUGGGUGAGUAACGCGAGGGUAACCUGCCCUUAAGUCUGGGAUACCAUUUGGAAACAGAUGCUAAUACCGGAUACUAAAGGAUGGACAUGCGCUGCAUUAGCUAGUUGGUAAGGUAACGGCUUACCAAGGCGAGGAUGCAUAGCCGGGUGUAGAGACUGAUCGGCCACACUGGGACUGAGACACGGCCCAGACUCCUACGUGAGUCAGCAGUAGGGAAUCUUCCACAAUGGACGAAAGUCUGAUGGAGCAACGCCGCGUGAGUGAAGAAGGUUUUCGGAUCGUAAAGCUCUGUUGUUGGUGAAGCGGUAAUCAACCAGAAAGUCACGACUAACUACGUGCCAGCAGCCGCGGUAAUUC
rnacentral:rRNA from 1 species